UUCCAGGGCAGCAAGAAAGAAGGAGGUGCUGCCGCCGCCGCCGCAGGUCCUUGGAGGAAUUCCCUUCGGCCUGCAGGAAUCCCCUUCCUCGGGCUCCUCUCCCCAGCAGGACAGCAACCUGGGCUUCCCCUCGACGUGCACAAGCAAGGCGAACUCCCCGCUUGUCCGCUCUCCCGAGCUCGCCGCUCCCACCCCCUUGAACCGGAACCGUUUUUGCGGCUGCAACGUUACUUACUGCCGCCGCCGCCUCCUCCUCCUCCUCCUCUCGGCUGGUUAGGUGGAGGGGGAGGAAGAUCAAGAGGGAGAGCCCCAGGGGGGGAGGGCGGCAGCCAUGGGGCUGCGGUUGCAGCAGCAGCAGCAACCGGCUAUGCAGCGCCGCAUGCCAGGGCAGGAUGAUUGAACGGCGCGGGCUUGCAUGAGUCUGGACGGAGGGCGAGCGGUCGGGGAGCCUGGCGGGCGCCGGCAUCUUGUCCCCCAGCGGUGCUUGUCGUUUUCCUGGCCGCCGCUGAUGGCUUUUCGUCGCCGCGGGUGACUGCCGCCUCCCCGUCUCCUUUCCCCCCGGAUUCCCCCCUGCUUGGCUACAGCCUCUUGGCUGGCCGGCCCCGGCGGCGGCGGCGGCGGCGAUGGGGAACACGACCUCCUGCUGCGUGUCGUCCAGCCCCAAGCUGCGGAGGAAUGCCCAUUCCCGGCUGGAGUCCUACCGCCCCGACACGGAGCUGAGCCGAGAGGACACGGGUUGCAACCUGCAGCACAUCAGCGACAGGGAGAACAUUGACGAUUUGAAUAUGGAGUUCAACCCUUCGGAUCAUCCUCAAGCCAGCACGUUAUUCCUCAGCAAAUCUCAAACAGAUGUGAGAGAAAAACGCAAGAGUGUCUACAUAAAUCACCAUCCUCCUGGUCAACUGAGAAGGAAAUACAGUUCCUCCUCCACUAUUUUCCUGGAUGACAGCACAGUCAGUCAGCCCAAUCUGAAAUAUACAAUUAAAUGUGUAGCUCUUGCAAUAUAUUAUCACAUCAAAAACAGGGACACAGACGGAAGGAUGCUCCUAGAUAUUUUUGAUGAAAACCUCCACCCCCUUUCGAAAUCCGAAGUGCCGCCAGAUUAUGACAAACACGACCCGGAGCAGAAGCAGAUUUACCGCUUUGUGCGGACGUUGUUUAGUGCUGCGCAACUGACUGCCGAAUGUGCCAUUGUCACCCUGGUAUAUCUUGAAAGGCUUUUAACCUAUGCGGAGAUAGAUAUUUGUCCAGCAAACUGGAAGAGAAUUGUGCUGGGUGCUAUUCUGCUGGCAUCGAAAGUUUGGGAUGAUCAGGCUGUAUGGAAUGUGGACUACUGUCAGAUCUUGAAAGAUAUCACAGUUGAGGACAUGAAUGAGUUGGAGCGCCAGUUUCUGGAAUUACUGCAGUUCAACAUCAAUGUUCCCUCCAGUGUUUAUGCCAAGUAUUAUUUUGAUCUGCGGUCCCUGGCAGAAGCAAACAACCUCAGCUUUCCUCGGGAACCCCUCAGCAGGGAAAAGGCAUAUAAACUUGAGGCCAUCUCUCGGUUGUGUGAAGACAAGUAUAAGGACUUCAGGAAAUCAGCAAAGAAACGGUCGGUCAGUUCGGACAAUCUGACUCUAGUUAGAUGGUCUCCUGCUAUCAUCUCCUAACAGUGAAGACUGGGACGAUUCCUCCAAAAGUACUGUUUCUAUCAUCAACUUUGGGCAGGCGGGAGGGGAAUGUUAUCGUUCAUUUUUGGGUCCCCCCCCCCCCCCCCGGUUUGUUUUUUCCUCCCUUAUUUUUAGAACUGCCUUUGCAGUGCCUCCCCUGGUUGUAGCACACGAGAAUUAAACCCGGGACGUGGAGAGAACCGUCAGCAUAAUCGGAUAGGACUCUAUAGGAAGAUUACCUCGGUUGCUCGCUAAACGAGAGUCCUUUUUGCGAAGAAAAAAUGAACACGCUUGGAACAGGGAGAAGACCGGAGCGCGGUGCGGGAGAGCAGAAAGCGACAAGUGUGUGCCAUUUUUUUUUUAAAAAAAUACCUGCUUCAGAAACAAUGGCUUGAAAAUGAAAUCCACGAGAUAAACUUGCAGGAGAGCUUGGGGAGAAAGGGGGGAGGAAUUGGAAGAGCUUCACGUUCUCUCUGGUAUCUUCGAUCAGUUUUCUUUUUUCCCACUGCUGGGUUUUGCAUUCCUCUCUGCCGUUUGCCUGGGUUUGGUUUCCCUACUACUGCAAAGCAUCGAGUACGAAGGUGGUCUCUACAGUAGCACAAGCAUUGGUUGUUUCCUUCCCUUGACAUAGCACUUUUCUCUUUAUAAGCUGUUUUAUUAGCAUUUCUGCCCACUGUUGUUAUACAUAUUUUGUCUCUCGUAUGCCUUUUGGGGAAGGGGAGGGAUUUUUUGGAAAAGAUUUAACUUGAUUUAUAGUGCUGAACCAAAAGUAUACAAGAUCAGGUGAUCAUAAUUUCAUGAUUUUUGCUUUAAUUUAUAGCGGCCGGUGUCCGUGAUGCUUUUUUUGUUAACUGCAUCAUGAAGACCGACUGCAUUAUAGUAUAUGUGGCUGCAUGUGCCUUCCUACGUUCUUUUGGGAUAGUUUAUUUUUCCUUACUAUAAAGCUAUGAUUGUCAGAAGGAUUCAGACAAUGGUGAAAUUUGGGCUGAGGAGGUGACGUUGACUUUGGACGCGGUAGUCCUCUCUGCAAGAUUUUUCUUAGCGUGUUAGAAAUUCAGCAGACUGUUAAGUGAGAGAACGUGAGGUCUCCCUUCCGUGUGGCCCAAACAGUUGAUUUCCUUCACUUCCUGGUUCAAUGUUGCAAGCAAUAGCCUCGAGAUUUUUAUAUGUUUAUUGGUUUAAAUGGAAACCAAUCUGUUUGUAUAAAAUAGAAAAAAAAUGUAAAAAAAAGAGAGUUUUUUUUGUUCUAGUGAAAAACAGUCCAUGAAAUAAGAAAAUCUAUAUUAAUUUUACCAAGUGUUUGUCACAGGCUGGAUUUCAAAAAAAUUUAAAAAAAAAUGUUUUACAAAACUGCAUUUUACAGUGUAGGUGCUUGUAGAAAUUUAAACAAAAUGCAAACUGUGAAGAAAAUCGGAUGGUGGGUGGAUCGUGUUGUACCUUUUUGUCGCUGUUACUUGUUCCCACCAUUGCAUUCCUUGAUGGGAUGGAUAAGAGGAAUCCCCUUUUGGUAGCAAGCCGCACGAUUCCUGUAGGAAUUCUUGUGCUCCGUACAAGGAUGUAGGGAUUGUUUUGCACUCUUUCGAAAGACGCAGAUUCAUUGCCUGAAAAAGAAGCCAGCAGCACGUUUCACGGUCUUGGAAUUCUAUGAAUUUUCUCUCUAGUAGAAGAAAUGAUCAAAACUGUCCGGGCUCAGACUUGCUUUUUUCUUUUUUUUAAAUUUGCACUAUUUGAGAGAAUCGUACAGACCACAUUCCACUGGCAACAUUUCCUGCAUACGUCUCUCAACCCCAGCAGCUGUGCUGAUAUACAUGCCCCCCCUCCCUCCAUCGUGGGGUUUGCUCAGGAGAACUUCCCGGCUCCAUGCUCUUGAGCUGCUCGGUUGCUGUCAAUGAGAGCUUUUGCAGGACGUUUCCACAUUCCUUUGCAUGGUCUUAUUGAGCCUUAAAACCUCGUCUUUAUAUUGUUUACUUGACUCACGUUUCCAACAAAACCCUUCCUGUCCCCCCCCCCCCCCCCCCCCCAUUUAGGGCACAUCCCCGCAGCUCUAAAUUAUGGAGGGCUGCGGGAGCUUUCUGUGCCGUUGAUUCUUUCAGUCAGAAGUCAGGAACCAAAGAAGAGGGAAGCUCCGGGACAGAAACUUUCUUUUUGGUGGUGUGCUGCAAAGUGCUCGCUGCUAAAGAAGCCAGACCUUCUUUUAAUGCUGAACAGACGGUUUUCUCUUCAGCAGAGUAACUGCUGUAUUCGGCUCACAGUUGUCAUUGGUCAGCACAUGUUCCUUCUUGGGAUCCCACUCAAGGGAUCCCACAUUGGUCUGUAGAGCUAGCAGGGUCCACUGGGAACUGUCACCUGCAGUGGUUGCUGGGUUGUUUUGAUGAGAGAGAGGAAAGUACAUUUAUUUUCUCUGGGAUGUUUUCCCUUGGGUCCAGCACACAGUGCUCAAUCAAGAGUGCUGUAAGCUAUCAUUUUAGACGUACCGCAGAUGUGUUUAGGACCAGAGCAUUCAAGGCUAUUUCUCAGAUGACUGUACCCCUGAUUGUGCUGUUCGCCACCACUGUAAAGGGAUUGUGGCACUGACGAUAAUGGAGUAUGAACAGCCAAGCAGUUUUCUACCAGCUUUUUUAUUGGUAUUACACAACAUGAAGAGUUUGCCCUACGUACGUUCCCUGAUCUUUCAGAUAGUUUAGUUCUCAUUUGUUUUUGUUUUUAAAUUGUUGUUGUGCCAACAUAUCAAAACUCUGAUUUGUAUCAUGUCGGAGUUUGGAUUCUCUGUCCCUUUCCUUCUUUUUUCUUUUUUCCUAAGCAGAAUGUUAAAAAAGAAAAAAAAACCUGUACAAUGAGAGGGGAAAAGGAUAAUUUUUUUUAAAAAAAUAGAAUUGAAUUAUAUUUUCCCCAGAUAGAGAUGAUGAUUUUAAAGUGGGUUGUUUUGUCAACAGUUUGAAGAAUGCUAAUUGAGUUUGCAAAAAUAUCGUUGUGCUGUUUGGGAGGGAACGGCGGAGGAAAAAAGUUUGCAUUAUUGUAAAGUUCUCAAUGCAUCUGCUAUAAUUUUUGUGAAUUUUAUUAAACUACUUUAAAGAUUG